GACAGAUCGGGAGCUUGCUCCCUGAUGUUAGCGGCGGACGGGUGAGUAACACGUGGGUAACCUGCCUGUAAGACUGGGAUAACUCCGGGAAACCGGGGCUAAUACCGGAUGGUUGACUGAACCGCAUGGUUCAGACAUAAAAGGUGGCUUCGGCUACCACUUACAGAUGGACCCGCGGCGCAUUAGCUAGUUGGUGAGGUAACGGCUCACCAAGGCGACGAUGCGUAGCCGACCUGAGAGGGUGAUCGGCCACACUGGGACUGAGACACGGCCCAGACUCCUACGGGAGGCAGCAGUAGGGAAUCUUCCGCAAUGGACGAAAGUCUGACGGAGCAACGCCGCGUGAGUGAUGAAGGUUUUCGGAUCGUAAAGCUCUGUUGUUAGGGAAGAACAAGUGCCGUUCAAAUAGGGCGGCACCUUGACGGUACCUAACCAGAAAGCCACGGCUAACUACGUGCCAGCAGCCGCGGUAAUACGUAGGUGGCAAGCGUUGUCCGGAAUUAUUGGGCGUAAAGGGCUCGCAGGCGGUUUCUUAAGUCUGAUGUGAAAGCCCCCGGCUCAACCGGGGAGGGUCAUUGGAAACUGGGGAACUUGAGUGCAGAAAGAGGAUAGUGGAAUUCCACGUGUAGCGGUGAAAUGCGUAGAGAUGUGGAAGAACACCAGUGGCGAAGGCGACUCUCUGGUCUGUAACUGACGCUGAGGAGCGAAAGCGAGGAGAGA
rnacentral:rRNA from 1 species